rnacentral:rRNA from 1 species
GACGAACGCUGGCGGCGUGCCUAACACAUGCAAGUCGAACGAAGAAUGUUUUUCGGAAUAUUCUUAGUGGCGGACGGGUGAGUAACGCGUGAACAAUCUGCCCCGUACAAAGGGAUAGCCUCGGGAAACCGGGAUUAAAAACCAUAUAACACUUAACUGCCGCAUGGUAGUGAAGUCAAAUCGAUUAAGAGGUAUGGGAUGAGUUCGCGUCUGAUUAGCUAGUUGGUGAGGUAAGGGCUCACCAAGGCGACGAUCAGUAGCCGGCCUGAGAGGGUGAACGGCCACACUGGAACUGAGACACGGUCCAGACUCCUACGGGAGGCAGCAGUGGGGAAUAUUGCACAAUGGAGGGAACUCUGAUGCAGCGACGCCGCGUGAGUGAAGAAGGUCUUCGGAUCGUAAAGCUCUGUCUUCCGGGACGAUAAUGACGGUACCGGAGGAGGAAGCCACGGCUAACUACGUGCCAGCAGCCGCGGUAAGAUCACGUGUA